rnacentral:rRNA from 1 species
CAGUCGUACCUUCGGGUAAUCAGCCUUUCGAGUGCGAUUCUGUGGAGUGUGAGGAGUUAAACGCCUUCAUGCCUGCAUAUUCGUGCACUUUGGGUGUACUUGCCCGUGUGGUAGGUUAACAUCAAUUUCGGAUGUCAUAAAAUGGCUGGAGGAAUGUAGCUUCGGUCUCGUAUUGAAGUGUUAUAGCCUCUGGUAGAUGUGAUGACCGGGAUUGAGGAUUGCAACGAAUACCUUUUGGGCUAUCCGCCUGAUCUCUGAAAGUUGCUCUGGUGCCGAAAGCGUGCUUACGGUUAUCAAAGUUGACGUUCAAAAGGUUAGAACGGGUUAAA